GGUUAACUCUUGCAUAAGGGAUUUGGACAGCACAGGGAUGAAGGAGUGAAGAUGCUGGUUAACUCUUGCAUAAGGGAUUUGGACAGCACAGGGGUGAGGGAGUGAAGAUGCUGGUUAACUCUUGCAUAAGGGAUUUGGACAGCACAGGGGUGAGGGAGUGAAGAUGCUGGUUAACUCUUGCAUAAGGGAUUUGGACAGCACAGGGAUGAAAGAGUGAAGAUGCUGGUUAACUCUUGCAUAAGGGAUUUGGACAGCACAGGGAUGAAAGAGUGAAGAUGCUGGUUAACUCUUGCAUAAGGGAUUUGGACAGCACAGGGAUGAAAGAGUGAAGAUGCUGGUUAACUCUUGCAUAAGGGAUUUGGACAGCACAGGGAUGAAAGAGUGAAGAUGCUGGUUAACUCUUGCAUAAGGGAUUUGGACAGCACAGGGAUGAAAGAGUGAAGAUGCUGGUUAACUCUUGCAUAAGGGAUUUGGACAGCACAGGGAUGAAAGAGUGGAGAUGCUGGUUAACUCUUGCAUAAGGGAUUUGGACAGCACAGGGAUGAAAGAGUGAAGAUGCUGGUUAACUCUUGCAUAAGGGAUUUGGACAGCACAGGGAUGAAAGAGUGAAGAUGCUGGUUAACUC